GGACCUCGGGGUGGUCCCCGAGCUGGGCUGUGCCUCCGGGGACCUCGGGGUGGUCCCCGAGCUGGGCUGUGCCUCCGGGGACCUUGGGGUGGUGAUCCCUGAGCUGGACAGUGUCUCCCUGAACCUCUGGGCGACCGCGCCAUCUCAGGCAGCCUCUGCCUCUGCUGGGAGAAGCCAUGGCCCCUGGGAGAGGCUAGAAGCCCUGGGGACACAUUGUUUUGGGUGUCCCUGACAGGGACUAUCAUGGGAGCAUUUCUGGCUAUGGGCACCAUCCUUGUCCAUUCCAGAGUGCUCUGCAUAGUGGCAGACACCCUGAAGCCUGGUGACCCCUGGGCUCUGGCAGGGAAACCCGGGUCGUGGGGAUGUGAAAGGGUGAGGUGUCAGUGCCCCGACCCCUUGCCUUUUAAAGGAGGGCCCUCCUGGACCCGGGAACGGACCCUGGUGGCGGUGAAGCCAGAUGGGGUGCAACGGCGGCUCGUUGGGGACGUCAUCCAGCGCUUUGAGAGGCGGGGCUUCACGCUGGUGGGGAUGAAGAUGCUGCAGGCACCAGAGAGCGUCCUUGCCGAGCACUACCAGGACCUGCGGAGGAAGCCCUUCUACCCUGCACUCAUCCGCUACAUGAGCUCUGGGCCCAUGGUGGCCAUGGUCUGGGAAGGGUACAAUGUCGUCCGCGCCUCCAGGGCCAUGAUUGGACACACUGAUUCGGCUGAGGCUGCCCCAGGAACCAUAAGGGGUGACUUCAGCGUGCACAUCAGCAGGAACAACUACCUCUGUCAGCAAGAACCCAAGCCCACAUCCAUCCCUGCCUAUCCCAAACCACUUACUUCCCUGUUCACCUCUGCCCCAGCCCAGCCCAGAGGAGUUUCAGCCACCAACUUCAGUGCCUUUCUGAACCCCAAGCCAGCACAAGAUUGGACCAAUCCGUUUUGCACCGAAGUGCCAGACAGCCUUUGUGGUGGGGGGGUCUUCGCAAGUUAUCCUAACCUUUCCUCCAAAGGGGAGGCAUUAAAAUUCACUGUGCCCAGCACAUGGGUGGUACAUUAAUUAUGACUUCCGCCAACUGAGGUAGAAAUGACGCUUUUAUGCAAGUUGUAAAGAGUUGAAGAGUAAAGAUGAAGUUUUUGAGACUCCAUCUCAAAAAAAAAAAAAAAAAAAAAAAAAAAA